UGUGUGUCCCAGGUGUGGGGGGGGCACAGUGUGUGUCCCAGGUAUGUGUGUCCGUGUGUGUCCCAGGUGUGUGUGUUCAUGUGUGUCCCAGGUGUGUGGGGGGGCACAGUGUGUGUCCCAGGUAUGUGUGUCCGUGUGUGUCCCACGUGUGUGGGGGGGCACAGUGUGUGUCCCAGGUGUGUGUGUCCAUGUGUGUCCCAGGUGUGUGGGGGGGCACAGUGUCUGUCCCAGGUGUGUGUGUCGGUGUGUGUGCCAGGUGUGUGUGGGGGGCACGGUGUGUCUCCCAGGGGUGUGUGUCCGUGUGUGUCCCAGGUGUGUGUGUGUGUGUGUGUGUGUGUGUGUGUGUGUGUGGGUGGCGUGGUGUGUCUCCCAGGUGUGUGUGUCCGUGUGUGUGCCAGGUGUGUGUGUGUGUGGGAGGAGGCAUGGUGUGUGUCCCAGGUUUGUGUGUGUGUGGGCACGGUAUGUGUCCCAGGUGUGUGUAUCUGUGUGUGUUCCAGGUGUGGGAGGGUGAGGGGGCACGGUGUGUCUCCCAGGGAUGUGUGUCCGUUUGUGUCCCAGGUGUGUGUGUGUGUGUGUGUAUGGGGGCAUGGUGUGUGUCCCAGGUGUGCAUCCCCGUGUGUGUCCCACGUGUGUGUGUGGAGGCGCGGUUUGUGUCCCAGAU